GGAGUUUACAAAAUGUCUGAGGCCACCAGAACCACAUUCAAACCGGGGAAAGAACGAUGGAUGAUUUAGUGGAGGAGAGAGAGGUGAGAGUAAGAUAGGGAGGCCUGUCAACCUCAUGUCACCAUGCACACUGAAGAGACAAGGAAACAGAGUCAGAGAGGUGAAGGAGCUGACCCAAGAUCACACAGCCAGUAGGGGACAAGGACUCCCCCAGGGACUCGGAUUCCAGAGUCAGGCUUUGAAGGCAGAAGUUUGCUGAGCACUUACUGGAGCUGGACACUGUUCUGGGCACUGGGGAUGCACCAUGAGUGGGACAAGUCCCCGCCCUCAGGGGGCUGCCCUCCUGUGGGGAGGGGGAGACUCAACGAAUCUGCACCUGAACAGAAAGCGCACCCUCGUGAGUCUUGCCUGUGCGCUUCCCAUUUCCCGGACCUUAUCUACAGCAAGCGGCAGCCAAUAUUUGUCAAUUCUAUAAUCUCCAAUUUCAAUCCCUGGAUGACGUCCUACCGUGUCGUCGCCUGGUGUUUCCUGCCAUUAAUGCCUCAGCCUCCAUCUCCGCGUCUCCGGCAGGAAGCAGCGCCCUGCGCUGGAAAGAGCCAGCUGGGAAGUCACACGCUCCAGGUCCCAGCGCAGCCUCUGCCCUCCGAUAGCUGUGGGCCCGUGGGGAGCCCCCCAGCCAAAGAAGGAUGGGGCAGCAUCCAGGGCUCUCGAAUUAGGUGCUGGGAUGUUUUUUAAAAAUUUCGUAGGCCUUUAAGGCUGUGUGGAAAAUGUAAUUUGUAGAAGUUGAAUAACUGUACUGUUGCCCCAGUAGGGCCUGGGCCCGCCUGGUGCUCCCUGACCACCUGGCAGUAAGGCAGGCGGCAGUGGCGCUCCUGUGCAGCGAUGCCCGAGGCCAGCUUCCGUUCUGGUUGUUUGCUCGCCACUCACAGCCCCUGCAGAGCCGACUGGAGGGAAAAUAUGUGGACCUGUUAUCCAAGAUUAAGCAAGGCCUCGGCUGACCCUGGGGAAGAAGUCAAUAAAACUCAGCCAUGCCCAACUGGUGAAAGUUCCCGUGCCAAAUUGUUAAAAAUUCUCAUCGUCUCAUCUUCUUCCCCUGAAGACCACCAGAGGCCCCCCUGCGGUGAACAGGGUGGCUCGGUUGCAGAGGGGAGAGCGCCACAGG
rnacentral:lncRNA from 1 species